rfam:Felis catus isolate Cinnamon breed Abyssinian chromosome B1, whole genome shotgun sequence.
ACCUGGUUGGCUCAGUCGGUUAAGUGUCUGACUUCGGCUCAGGUCAUGAUCUCAUAGUUUGUGGGUUCGAGCCCUGCAUUGGGCU